AUUGAACGCUGGCGGCAGGCUUAACACAUGCAAGUCGAGCGGAGAUGAGGUGCUUGCACCUUAUCUUAGCGGCGGACGGGUGAGUAAUGCUUAGGAAUCUGCCUAUUAGUGGGGGACAACAUUCCGAAAGGAAUGCUAAUACCGCAUACGCACUACGGGGGAAAGCAGGGGAUCUUCGGACCUUGCGCUAAGAGACGAGCCGAGGUCGGAUUAGCUAGUUGGUGGGGUAAAGGCCUACCAAGGCGACGAUCUGUAGCGGGUCUGAGAGGAUGAUCCGCCACACUGGGACUGAGACACGGCCCAGACUCCUACGGGAGGCAGCAGUGGGGAAUAUUGGACAAUGGGCGGAAGCCUGAUCCAGCCAUGCCGCGUGUGUGAAGAAGGCCUUUUGGUUGUAAAGCACUUUAAGCGAGGAGGAGGCUACCUGGAUUAAUACUCUAGGAUAGUGGACGUUACUCGCAGAAUAAGCACCGGCUAACUCUGUGCCAGCCGCCGCUGUAAGAC
rnacentral:rRNA from 1 species